CGCCUCUUGGUCUACCUGUGUUAAGGUACUUACCCGCCUCAUGGUCUACCUGUGCUUAGGUACUUACCCGCCUCUUGGUCUACCUGUGCUGAGGCACUUACAAUUGGGGUGUUUGAUGGAGACGAAGUAUUGAUGGUCUUGUCUUAAGUUACGUCUAAAUAUUUCUGUACACUCAUGAAUGUUUACUGUUUAAUUUGACCUUUGCAAUUAUGACCCAAUUCUACUGAAAUGUGUCAAACGAAAAAAACUGCUUGAAAAUAUGUUUUAAAAAUAGAGAAAACCGGAUGAAAACAAUAUGUGAAGAACAUAUAGGCUCUCAAACGCCACCUCAACAUUUGAACAAAGCCGCUCUUUACCACAAUAAUAUUGAUUCCUUCCGCAAAACGUGACACAGACUUUGAUAGAAAAACUUAUUUGCGCCUAUAUUCGUACAUCCCACCAAAACGUCAGACCAACAAUAAACUAAAUUAUCUAUAAGUAUCGAAAAGUCAUGCUAUUUAGACCAGCAGUCUGCGUGUUUGUGCGAGGACGGAUUUGUUGUUGCCUUGUGUUUGUCUGAUCGUGUUCAAGAAAGUUAAAAAAAGCAGUCACUCUUGCUAGGUGAGAUGUUAAUACAGGGUUCAACUCCCGCGAUGGCACCUCACAAUUAUGGACACCACGCUUUACAGACAGAAACCGUCACCAAAUGAGACUUGAACACAAAAAGGGACUCAAAUCGUUAACAUUUUAGGACUACAGCAGGGUACCCUUGGUGCCCGUAAUAACGUGUUUAAUUAUUUUUUUACAAGUCUUAAUAGAUAACAAUCCUGAUCUGUUUAGACAUUGUUAUCUUUCAUAGCGGAAGACACAGCGGAAUAUCUGACACCUUCGGAAGGUUUUAUGGAGUUGUCCGCUUAAUGACGGAAGAAUUUGGUUUAAGGACUAUGGAAUUUGUCCGUUAAAUCGAGGUUGUUUGGCCCGUUGCGUUGCGGUUUUACUGUACAGAGAUCAAGGUGCCGCAAAAAGUUAGUUGUUUUGGAUUCUCUUAAUCGUGUAUUCUACAAGUUAAAAUAAAAAUAGAAAUCCACAAAAAUUUUAGAAGGAAAGAAAAAGUGAUCAAGAUUAAAAAAAAAAAAAAAAACAACAAGACAGUUUUAAACUUUAAAACUGUUUUUUUUUUCUUGGCUGAGCCGUCAGGUUCCAUCGACCACCAGUCGCUGUCGAUGACGCGCUAAGCCUAGAUAUUAUCAUCAGUUAUUCUAAGCUAGGCAAUCGUCUUUAAAAGGAACCUUACAGCUUGUUAUAUGUGGCUUCGUAGAUCGAAAAUGAGAUAACACUGAAAUUGAUUUACAUUGCCAUAAAGCAAACCUUCGACGACAUGGCCAUAACAGAAAAAUGCCAGUUAAUGUCGCUUUACGCGCGAAAAGGAAAAUCCCCGCUUUGCAACGCAAUGAAUACACUAAGCACGAUCAUGGCAGAAUAUAGAAACAAACACUUCUUGAUUGGUGCUUUCUAUUAUGCUGCAAUUUCGCCCUUUUUCUUGUAGUUUUUGGGUUUUGUUCAAAAGACCCGCAAUUUCGCGACAAAGCCGCUAUUAGAAUUUGCACAAGUAUUAUCUCAAUGAGAACAUCUGUUAUUUUAGUUAUAACAUGAAGAUAAUAACAUCCUUAUUGUAUGCGCUUGUGGUGGAAAAGAAUCUUAGGAAAUUUUACAGAAAAAAAAUAGGAUCGCGAAAGCGCGGUUUCUGCGGCGACAUGGAGACUAGAUAAAGAUGCCAUGGUUUUUGCCGCGUCCAUUGAAAGAAAUCGACACAGAUUAGAUUUUAAGACUAAGAUAACACAGGUAUUGUUGCAGAGUCUGUAAAUACUGCCCCGUACGGAUAGAUUGUACAGUCUUUGUAGUCGUAAACGGCGCUGCGUUCGUUUGUGGGUGGUCAAGUGCAUGACUGCGAAAUAUAGAGUAAGGCAUGAACAAGUUAUACUUUUUUUCGCUGGAUUUUCUAGGUCAUAAAAGCGUAUAAAGAGUAUAGGGGGUGGUAAGCUUUUACACGAGGUGAUAAAUAUGGAGUUCUAAAAAUCUCGAGUACACUAAUACAAUGAUAUUUAUUUAUUUCAGGUGCAAACUGUAAUAUCUGUAAUUUUCCUGGAAGUGUCACCUCGUAAACUUUGUACUCACAAAGAACAAUUUUGGUACAGCAAGUGGUUUUGAACAAAGGCAACUGAGGUGUAGAUAUAAUCGGGGGAAAUUAGUUUUCGGGCACAAACUUUUAAUCUUCUUUAUUUCUUUUACCUAACAAGCCCUGCCGUGCUAUUGUGUUUUGGGAAAGGUAAUGCAAACGAAAUAAAUGUCAAAAAGCCAAGUAUUAAUAGUUAAGAAUAUUUUACUUAAAAGCCAUCGACUGAUUUUGAGGCAGGAAAUUACUUUUUUUAAUUACUUUUACAUAGCUGUUAAUCCGUCUAAUUUUGUACAAUGAAAACUGCUUCUUUUUUAAGUAUCACUUCUCACAUUUGAACUAGCACUUCAGGAUAUUCAAAAGCUCGAGGUAUGCAACCGAUGUGAGCCAGGUUUGUUUAACCGGAUUAUUUAGGCCGCCCAGGGGUCUUGUAAAACGGCGGGUCAUACGGUUUGACGGUACAUAGAAUGUCAAAGAGCCCAUGUCCUGGGAUAAAACUCAUUUAUUUUGACCGUCUGUAGGAGCUGCACAGAAGCCUUGUUAUUACCACCGAAAAAAAUAGCAAGGUCUGGGCUAGAUCCUCAGAUCUAGUGGAAAUUGAAUUUUGUUUUGCAUUACCUACUAAAUUAAUAAUUACUUUGCAAUAACAACCUGAGGCAAAACAAUCAAGAAAAGAAAUCCAACCGAAUUCAAAAGCGAGAAGUGUUUUUAAAAUAAACAUUACUUAUAAUGCUCAUUUGACAAGUCUUUUAAAAUUUCAAACGAAAAAGAAGAUCGAUCUUCGGUUUCUUAUUGACAGGCGAACUUCAUUUUUAUCAACUGAUUUCUCCAGCCUUCCUCGCCCUGUAAACAGAUCGUACCGAUUGCACUCCCCCAAGCUUGAAACAACCCGAGACAUGAUGGAUAUUUUUAUCAAGAUUCUCGUUACCUGGUUGCCUUAACAAUCUUUCCAUAACCAUCGUCCCGAGUAAGCAAUUGAUAGUAGUAUAGAAUAAUUCGACUUAAAUAGAAAUCAGUAAAAACCAGUUAGGGGUAUCGGUGGGGUGUCGCCGCUCUUUGCAAUGUGAUAGGUCCAGAAUUACGAGGGAGAUUACCACCAAUGAAAAAACAAAUAAAAAAUGCAGCAGAAGUGUGGUGGGGGAAAUCACUCCUUUCUGCAUAUAAAGAUUACGAAGCGCGAUUUGUGUUGUGUUCCACAGACUGACUUGGCGACAAGAUGGAAGUCAUUGCUUCGAUUCUCCUGUUGGGCUUGAGUCUACAAGUAAACGCUAAUGAUGAUUUCAACACUAGCAAAGCUAUCGACAAACUGUUCAGUAAAGAAUCAUAUGACCGACGACUCAGGCCGCACAGACAGACGGGAAGACUGAUAAACGUCACGAUCGGGAUGACUGUGGUCUCAUUCGGACAAAUACGAGAAAGAGAUAUGGCAUGGAGAUAAACCACAUCAGACGUUGUGUCUCCGUCAUCUCUUGGCCACGCAUCGAUCCUCCCGUGGUUUUGACACUGCGCAUCAAAGCCUGCUCUAUUAAGUCCGUAAACAAUACAAACCAAUACCUGUCACUCUGGCAGCAAACCUGUGUCGCUUCUACUCUACACACAACACGUCUCGCCGUUGUACAUUUAAUUGCGCAGACAAAGAAUGCAACUGUUUGAAAUGGCUUUAUUCAUUAUACACUUUUACACCGAAUGGAGGUUGAUAAAUCCUAAAACAAAUAAUAAACCCAAAUGGCUUUGAAAA